CUGAUUAGUUCCAUGAACAAAAAUCCUAAAUUACAGUCUCAUUCUUGCUGCAAUUUCAUGAACUAGAUCCAUCAAAACACCCUAAUUCUUGACACAAUUUCAAACACAAUCUAGUGGUGUUAAAAAAUUCUCGCCUUAUGAUUUCUUCAAUCUGGUCAUGGACCAGGAAGAUUUGUCUUUUCAUGAUUAAUGCCCCCCGCGAAUCAUGAUAUUGUUGCUGCAUCAUCGUCCACCACUGCUGACAAUGACACCAUUCUGUCUGUCACUGCUGCUAUUGCCAAGGAUGCUGCCUUGCAUUUCCAGUCUCAUUGAUUUGUGGAGUGCCUCGUUAUUUUGCAUCAGCUCAAGUUAAAGA
rnacentral:misc_RNA from 1 species